rnacentral:misc_RNA from 1 species
GUGGAGGAGGACGCCGAAGGUGGGGCUAAUGACUGGGGUGAAGUCGUAACAAGGUAGCCGUACCGGAAGGUGCGGCUGGAUCACCUCCUAACAGGGAGACAACAAAAUGUUUAAUAUUAUUAUUUUGUCACCUUAGGUCGAUCGGUAUCUCACGUUCUUAAUUUAUUAAGAAUUUCAUUUCCUAAGUUUUUCUAGGUCACACCCAUUAUUUUUCCUGGGCCAUUAGCUCAGGUGGUUAGAGCGCACCCCUGAUAAGGGUGAGGUCCCUGGUUCAAGUCCAGGAUGGCCCAUAUCUCUAUGUUGGGGGUAUAGCUCAGUUGGUAGAGCGCCUGCUUUGCAAGCAGGAUGUCAGCGGUUCGAGUCCGCUUACCUCCACUGAUUACCACCUCUUCCAUAACCGGUAGUAAAGGAAAUGUUUUGAGUUGUGAUCAAAUUCUGAAAGAAUCUAGCUUCCUAAUGAAAUCAUUAAGAUGCUGGACUCAUUGAAUUAAUUUCAUUGUUUUCAGAGAACCUUGACAACUGCAUAGAUUAUUUUAAAGACAAUAAGCAUCUUUAAUGAUGCAGAUUUAUUAUUUGUGCGAAUGCAUUAAUAACAAUUCUAUUAAGCUGAUGCUUCAAUUUUUGAAGUUAUUGGUCAAGCUACAAAGGGCUCACGGAGGAUACCUAG